rnacentral:sRNA from 1 species
AUGCCCUGUACGUUGCGAAGUCCUAAGUUCCACUUGGGAUACGAAAAGAAUUUCAUAGCAGCUACGGGGCAU